GCCAAGAAAAAGUAGGAGAAGGCGAGGAAACAGUGUGGUAGAAAGCAGUUGGCGCAAGUUCCAUUACGAGUAAAGUUACGGGCAGAAUCCAUUCUCUUCCAAAGAUCUUAUGCAGGUUGGGUGAAGUAAAGUUCCAUUCCAGCUAGGGGUGCUUAAAAGUAAAGAAAGAUUCCAUUCAGACAAAAAGGGCAGGGCGAAACCAAGGACAGGGCGAAAGAACAAGUAGUUUCGGGAAAUCUUAUAGUAGUGAAGAAUUGCUAGUUCGAGUUAAAGUGAGAGUUUUCUCCUAGUCUUAGAUAGAAUCAAAGGUGAACAUUCUAGUACUUGCAUUGAAUCUAGCCUUCAAUGUGCUCAUUUUGAUUAUUAAAGCAAUGGUGGAGAGCCUUCUACUAUCUUUGUUAAGAGCAAACAACAGGGUGACUUACCCGCUUAUACUUAUUCCCCACCUGAUCGGAGUAAUGACUGACGCUCUUUUAGCUCGCUACCGUUUCACUCGGGCUCCUACCGUCGAGAGCAUCUACGAAGACAGGACUUGCUCAUAAUGCAUUAUAACCCAUUUAUGACUUGUUAUGUGUUUGAGUUCUCUGCCGCUUUCAUUAGGACUUGUUGAUUAGAGUCCAGCCCCAGUUCCUGCUCGAGUUAUAGUUUCAUACCGAGUCGAAUGUAUUAAUGGUGGAAUGUAUUAAUGCCCCAAAAACACAGUACUUGCUAGAGUAGUUGCGAGUAUAUGUUUAAUCUGAAGGCUUAAUAGUAAGGCUUUGUUGGGUCUUGCUGGCUUUGAAGUUCUAUUAUAUAAGCUGUUACUGGCUACACUAAGGAGACUGCUCGAGGAAGAAUAAAGUAAAGGCUAGUGCAUCAUCUGGAACACAGGAAGUUACGCUCACUCUCUCUUCCUCACCGGCUCUCUCUUCCUCACCUGUAGAGACUCAACACCUGUAGACUCAACUAUUACUGACGCUGACGCUUAUCCUGCUAAAGAUCCGGCUUCUUCUCCUGUAACCUAAGGAUCAGGCUUCUUUCUCCUGGGUAACCAUUGAUUCUAUCUCUUCUUAUUAUAGAGGCCUCGUCUGGAUAAGGUAUUUAAUGAGUGAAAAGAACAAGAGGGGAGGUCGGCAAUCAAGUCACCUUUUACUACCGCCGUGUAUAGACCUUACCUUAGAGCCAGAACAGGACCACCACUAAGACUUCCUUCAACAAGCCCAGCAGCGGCCAACUAGGUGACGAACACAGGACUUGAAGUUCAGAAUUCCAUUGAGUUGACUAGCUGCCCUGGUAGUAGUAGCACUGGUAGCUUACUUUAGCCCGAGAGACUUUCUGUCUUCUCUUGCUUCCCCGACCUAAACUCUAAAGUCACUGAGGCUCUUAGCACCUUGCCUCUCCUUAUGACUGAACAGCUUUACCGACACAGUGGAAAUCCAAUCUUCUUCAAGAAGAACUAUUUCUAUCUGCUUGUUUGCUUGUUCCCGCUGCGAUUGUGAAGAGAGUGCCCGUUGCUUGAAGGUACUGAAUCGUCGUUGCUUAUUCUCUAGCACUUGCUUGCGCUGGCAAACAAACAUUAUCUAUGGUUUCCGUUGCUAGUCUAGGCAUAGUAGUUGCCUUUCAUAGCUUCCCGAGCCUACCUAAACUCUCAAGUCACUUUAGUGAAAAUCCUAUAGAUGUGGAAUAUGGGUCAUAGGCAUCUACCCAGUACAGGUAUUUGAUUGGAACUCAUGGAUAAAGAAUUUGACUCAGUGCUUGGAAUCUACUACUGCUGUAUCCGCUCUAACAGCAUACUUUAGCCCUAGAUUAGAUACCCGCUUGCUUUGACUUCGACUUCAUACUAAACUGGAACUGGAUACUUGACUUCCUUACCAGUUCCUACUCCUUCUCUGGCUUCUGCAUCUUUAGUCUACUAGCUAAGGGUUCCGUUUACCCCAUUUCCAUGAAGGCACUUUGGGCGAGAUCCAUUCUUUCUCAAAACUCUAACAAACUACAGUAGAGCUGACUUUAGCGUGUAGUAACUGUUCAUUUCAACAACUUUCCCUGACAUGACGCUGAAAUAAGGAACCGGACUAACAAGGUCUUACCCGAACCAUACUCUCCACUUGAAGAAUAGAAAUUGUAAGUAGCACCGACGGAUUCCACUGAUACUAUACUUCGAACUCUACAAACUGGAACUAUCACUGCUUACUGGCACACUUCUUGGUUAAGGCUAAGGCUCUACAGGGUGAGAUCGAUCGUAUUGUGUUAUCUGCAUUAAGGUAGGUCCGCUCACUUUAUACUUACUCCGUCGUUGGGCAUGAGAACUUGGAUUGGGCAUCUGAUCCAACUAUGGAAUAUGGAGGUAAGUAAACAACACAGAGCAUUGCUUCCUUUAAUGAAAGUGAGAAUAGAGGCUAUUUGCCAUUAGUGGAGUUGACCCUAUGUUAAACAACGAGAAAGAUUUUCAACAACGCGAGAAGAAACAAGCUAUAGUCAUAAUUCUAGUGAAAUACAGUAGUAACAAAUAAGAACGAUAGCAGAACAAGCUAUAAUAAUCACUAUAGUUAUCAUUUGUAAUCACUUAUAUAACGAGAUAUAUUAUAUACUCUUGCGCUUUUUCGCUAUUCUUGUUUAGUGUUUCGUGCCCUUGCCCUACUUCUGAAUUAUGUCCUUUCCUUAUGAAGCGUGAAAGUCCGCUGGAAAUCAAACUGUAAGUAGAUGUAGGGUUGGGUGCUUUUUCAAUGGGUAGAGAGAGAGGGAGGUGAUUGUGCUUGUGUUUAAGUCGAGUGUUGCGUGAAGAAUGGAAUGGAAUAAUUGCAUGAUCCACAGCGUCGGUGGAGUCUCUUUGUGCUUCUGAUGUCCUCUUUAACUAACUAAGCUUAUUAUUCGUUGCUUGUUCGGUAUCUUAUAGCUUGAGGAGAGUCUCCUUCCCUUGUUGUAUAAAGAAAGAGGUGAUUGGCUUGCUCUUAGUGAAUGGAAUGGCCUGAUUGCUCUUAGCCCAAGAGUUGUCGAUUCGAAAUCCGCUUUCUUGCCUUAAUCUCCAUUCUUUCUUCAACACUAAGUGGUCAAAGUGGGUUUGUUGGUCCAGAUUCCAGUAUUGGUCCAGAUUGCAGUAUUGCUCCAGAAGCUCUUCUUUAAGAAUUUGUUUCAGGCUGUUAGCUACUUGGUGACCGCUCUCUCUUCUGUGGGGGAAUAAUCUUAGUAUGAGUACACUCCUUAUCUUGCACCCGAACAAGACUUAGAGCUCUAGCAUCAACAGAAUGACCUACUUCAAUGGAAACGGAAACUGCAACACGCGCACCCAAAGCAAAGAGAAGGUAAAGCCAAGCACCGCCCUCACUCCCAGAGAUCUUUGUCUAAUAACCUACCUCUUUCUCUGGUAAACUUGAAGUGAAGCUGAACUCUGACCUAUCUCGUCGCCAACUAAGCCCUAAAUAAGAAGUUAUCAACACGAGCACACCCGAACUAGGACAACACCGGCACUGCUUCUCCCCACCCAAGAGAGUAAGCUGUCUGGUUACCUAUAGAUAGUAAGUCAAGGGGUGAAUCCUGUCAGUAAGUAAAAGAGUGAUACCGGGCAGGGCAAUUCAAUUAGUAGGCUAGAAUUCACUAUUUAAUAACUUGAGAAGUUUUAUGGGAAAAUACCAGUAAUCUUAUCUUCCCGUUCAAUAAAUGCAUUUCUUCCUAUAAUCCUUAGGGUUCCAUUCUUUCUGGUUGCUAUCUCGUACCUCCUUCUUGCUGAAAAUGGACCACGACUUUAAGACUUAGUGGCGCUAACUGGACACCAAUGACUUAAGGGCCAGUACUAUAAGACCUAGGCUAAGAUGAAACAGCCAAUCUCUAUCCUCUGGUGCAUCUCAACAGGCAGCUGGCCUAGCACCAUCAUUGAAACUGACACCGAGUCAACAGCCAAUCUCUCUCCUCUUGCAACAACAGUUGGACCGCCACUACUUGCUUUGCCAUUGUAUAUAAGAACUCACUCCGCUAUAACUGAGCAGCUUUCUCAUCUACCUCGACUUGUUGAACAGACUCGGAAAGGGACUCUAUAUCGGGUGCUCCAGUGUUCUACUCCGGUCCUAUACUCAAGAAUGAGGUAAACUCUGAUUGUACCGAACAAAACAAGCUUAGGAACAAGAAAAGCAACCAGGCGGGCGUUAGUCCGGGGUCUUCUCAGAGGCAUUAGGAGUUUUCUUUUGAAGCAAGGAGUAGAGCUAGCUUAAUCCAUCACAUAUCAUGUGUGCACUUCUUUUUCUCUUUUCUGAAGUUUAGAGUAAGUAAUAAGUAAUGUUAUGCUCUUGGAGCAGUUGUCGUUCAAUUCGAUUCUGCAGCUAUAGUGAGUUCACCAUUUGCCUCCAUUCGUUCUGAAAGCUUAGUGCCUCAAUUCUACAGUGAGUAAGUAGUAAUAAGCUAUUAUUAUGUUAUGAGGAAUAAUAAGUAUAUUAUGAGGAGUAAUAAGCUAUUAUAUAUUAUGAUAUCAUUAUUAUUAUUAUGUAUUAUGCAAGAGAGAGUCAGCACUUAUAUCGAGAGAAGAGAUAAACAAAUUAAUAAGCACUUAUAUCAUAUGUGCACUAGAUGCAAAAAGAAACAAAAGCAAUCAAUGGCUUUCUACUAGCGUGAAUGAUAAGAUAGGGCGCCAGCAGGUCUAAGUGCGUUAAGUUAAGUUUAGAUGAGUUUUUGAAGAUAGAGGGUAUAGCGUGACUAAACACUGUCCGUCCCUAUGUCCCUACUUAGUUUCGAUAGCUUUAUAAGUGGAAUUGAAGGUUUCAUUGUUAUAGCAGCCCAGUAGUGAAUGGUUUGAGUUUAAGACCGGGUAGUAGCAGCCCAGUAGUGAAUGGUUUGAGUUUAAGACCGGUAGUACUGCAGAGAAUCCUUAGCCAGAGGGGAAAAAUACCUUAGGACGCGGGUGAUAUUAAUACGCCGGGGGCUUCUGAAGCACGUAGAGAGUUCGGGUCGGGGCAGACUAUCGGGAAUAAAGAUCUUCAGCAUCAAUUAGUUAUUAAAGUCGACAAGAGUAUCUUUGGUUGCUCUUUCUACAAAUAAGGAAUUGAGAAUUGAUUGAAUCUGUUCUAUAUAUCAUAUAAGAUAGAAUGGAAAGACCUUACGAGCAACUACGAUAGCACAUGUAGACAUCGACAACUGAAUCAGUAUCUUUAUCAGGAGCCUCAUCCAAGUUAGAAACUGCAAGCGGGUCAGAAAGGGAAGUUAAGUCAUCAGCAAGCGGGUCAGAAAGGGGAGUUCGACUCAAAUCCUACAAGCAAAUAGGCCUAUAAAUAAUAGGAAUGCUCAGGUUACACUCAGGAUAUCCCUCUCCUCUUGCAAACCAACCCUAGAUGAGAUAAAGGUUACGUCCCAAAUCAGGAACUUCCAUGGGGGAAAUCUGAUUACGAAGUAACCGGUCCAACCAUUUCUUAUGGUGAACUUGUCAAGAUGCUCGGGUGGCGAUAACUGAACGGAGUUGAUAGCCAAACAAACCAGAUUCUGAAAAGAGGUUCGGCUCCAGUCAGAGUAAAAGGUUUUUAUGAGGAAGAAGGAUCCCAUGAAGAAGGAUCGGCACGAUGAUGACGACUACCGCCGACGGGCAGGUGCGUGCGCUGCAAGUAAUAUUUCGAAAGUAGAAAGUCGUACCUACCAGCCCCGACGCUACUUUGACUACUUGACUAGGGCGCUAAACUCAAGUUCGUGCCUGCUUAUCUCGGCAACAAUAACCAUAGAACAGCGAGCCAUCAAUGGAUAUUACAAAUCUUCCGCAUUGUUACAGAAGGAGAGGAACCACCACAUUAGGUCGUUACUUGGCUGUGCCGUUGCUAGUUUGCUUGGUAACGCGUGAGGAGUUCUCUGAUCUUAUGCUUCAUAGAGAGAAAGAUUCGAAAUGAAUUCUUAAGAGACAGUUAAGAGUAAAGGGAAGGCUGUGUAUUCAAUACAUUCUACACCUGAUGCAAGAUAAUCAAUCAAUGUUUGAGUUGACUCAGCGCUAAAGUAAGCAUCAAAUGGUUCAGAGAGGAUUGUUUUUGUUUCAUCUACAUCCUAUAAGCUCAUAUUGAUUUUCUCCUGCCCAUUACACUCCUAAUGUUGCGCUAACGAAGCUGGAACAUGCAAGUAAAGAAACAUGUUCAGAGUCUCCUUCAGUUCUUGGUCAAGUAGAAAGUAUAGGUUAAGCGGUUCAGUCUUCAGCUUGAAGUUCCAUUCCUGUAGUUUCACAAUUCCAUACUUAUAUGAGGAUGCACAUGAAAUGGAUUCAAUUGAUUCUUUUCCUAGAGGAUCUUCUACGCUCGAAAAUCAGGAUUCCUUAAAAUAAGAGAUAAGGGAAAAAGUAGCGUAUACGUAAAAUUAUAGCAUUGUAAGUAAGCCCCGGCCACGGAUAAAGAAAUAAUGGGUUUUCUAUACGACAUUAGAAACUUACCGGCAAACACUAAUUCAGGAUAUAAAGCAAAGUAAAGAAGCUAGUGAAAAAGCAAGGGUAAAGAAGCUAGUGAAAAAGCAAGGGAUCAAUAAAGGGAUCUAUACGCUCUCGGUUACCUUAAUAACUCUGUUAGCACAAGUCCUGUUUUCAACUCUCAAGUUCUCAUUGAAUUCAAAAGGUGAUUGAGCUACCUUACUAGCCAAGGAAACAAAUAAGGAAUUUUGGCUCUUGUUUGCACAGAAGAGUCAGAAAAUACUGAUGAUUCAGUUGCUUCUGAUACAGCGGAAUAUGUUUCUUCUGGUGGAACUCCACUUUAUGAACCACAAUACCUUGAUCUACUUGUUGAUCUUUCUUCGGAUUAGAAGCCUGUAAUUGAUUCUUCAUAUCUUGUUUAAAAACCAGCUUCCAAUACAUCAUCUGCUUCUCCAGGAUCUUGUUUAAACUCGAGCACUUGCGUCGCACAGCAUCUAGUUCAUUCUACUACUCCGGGCUUAAGAACCAACAACUUUCUCCUCUCUGGUUCCUACUUCCCCGACUAAGAGAAGAAUUUAUAGAAAUCCAAAGAAUAGUAGAAAGUCAAUAAGCAGUUACAAAGGAAUACGCAAGUGAAUAAGCUUUCUAAAGAGAAUAAUAAGUGUCCCGCAAUUAAUAAGAAGCAAGUACUUUUGAUUAGGCUAAGGCGUCACAGUUCAUGAUUUUCCUGGUUGGUUGACCCGGCACUUUUCAUCGUAUUUAGAAAGAAGCUAUGCGGAGGUCCUCUAGCUCUAAGUCUUCGAUAAAUGACAAAGCCUCCAUUGAAUGAGGGUAUCCAUCCGAUGUUCUAGUUCAUUUGACACCCAGGGACUGUUUCGGGGUUACGCCUCUACUUUCUUUUAUAUCUGAAUUAGGCUCUGGCUUUGCCUUAGUAGUAGUUGCUUUUUGGACCUAGUCUUCCAAUUCCAUUCUUUUAUGCAAUGAUGCGAGGCGGGGUACAAAGAAUAGAAGUGACUUAACACUUAAGGAAUCCCCCGAGUCCGAUGAAAACAAAUUGAGAUUUUCUUAGCUCCGAUCUAUACUAAUUCACUACUAAAUGCAGGGCUUUCUCUACUAAAUGCAUUAUUUAUCUUAUAUUAGGAUUACGUUUACUCCUAGACUAAACUCGCUAGCUCCCCCACUGAAUUGACAAUAACAACUUCACUUCUACUACUAUAGGAUCCAGAGAGGGCAUGGAAACAGGCAAUUACUAGUUAGGCCAAGUAAAAGAGAGGAGACAACCGACGUAUUCCACUUCUUCAGCUCGGGAUUCAACAAUUUCCACUCUUAUGUUAUGAAUUGAAACUCUUAUGUUAUGUGCUGCUCUGCCAAGGAGGAUUUGGACUUAUGUUGGGUAUGAAUCAAAUCUCGACAAAAAGGAAAAAAGAGCAAUAAAGUGCUCCAAUCUUAUCCGAUCUCCUUGCCUACUGCCCCAAGUGUUCGAGGCGAAGAAGCCAAUAGCAGUGAACCACAGCAGCAGCAGUGCGGAAUGGAGUUUCUCGUCCGGUGGAUCUGAUCUAUCUAUUGAGUUUCUCGUCCGGUGGAUCUGAUCUAUCUAUAGUAUUGGGGCAAUACCGAUCCAAGUAGGGAUCUUUUCCGCAUAAGAUUUGUGUUUAAGUCAACCGCCCAAAAUCCUUAUCCUUAAUCAAUUAAUCCACUGCGCCUUCCUGCGACUGAUCGGCUGUCUACCUUUCCUGGCCCGUCUCUUUCCAAAGCCACUUAAGUUGAUAUGAGCAAUUGAUUGAUAGGACAAAAAAGAGAGAAAAGCCCCCUUACAAGUCAUUUAGCGCCACAUCUCAACACGAAUAUUACUGCUUACUCGAGUUCGAGAGUAUCUAAUUGAACAAAAGGCUGGGAACUGAAUCACCAAGCAAAAGAGAGAUGCACCUUACUAAUUUGGAAAUGAAUGCCCAACACGGAAAAGGUAAGGAAGAGAUUGUGAAUCGGAAGGGUAAGAAAAGGAGUCCUGCUCGGAUCAGCGCGGGUGCAGAAUCCAAGCAUAUGAUUUUCCACUCAGAUCGAAUAUAUUCCAAAGUGGAGUUAGAUUAUUCAAACCGUAAACGUCAAAGCGAGGCAGCCAAAUACAUUUCCAUUUCAAUCAAGAGACAAGCUGUAUAAAAAAACGGAGUUUGUCUAUAGUAUAGUUGAUCACGGCUGCUUUUAGGACCUCUUUCAACAAGCCGAUGGUGAUCUAACUUUAGAAAGAGAAUAUAGCUUUGGUAGUGUGCAUAUAGUACAUAAGAAUAAGAUCUAGCUUGUUGGGGUGGUGGACUUACUUGCUUGUUAGGAUGGAUGGGUAAUCAAGUAGCCAGCAGCUUGGCUUGUUUCAAGAAGUUAAUAGGAGCCGAAGCCAAGUUCUAGCGGUAGGAGCGAAACUGUUAUAGUGAACUUUUCGCCUAUAUUUGCCUAUAUAAAACUGGAGUAUUCGUUAUCAGAGUUGUUGGCUUUCACACCAGAUCGAGAGUCCCUUGUAGGAAGAACACAGGUUCACUCUUUAAUAAGACAUCCUCUGUAAGUAGUCUUCAAAUGGAUUACCUUAUCCGGGGAAACAGAAGAAUUGGCUCGGUAAAGAAUGGAGCAGCCACCUUAUAUACUAGUUUACAGGACUUGGUAAUUAACCUUAGGACUUGCUUUAGAGGAGAUGGGUCUCGAUUGGACCACUACUUUAAGGAGCUGGACCUGGACUCGGUAAUAACUUAUUCCACUCUAUUCUUAUUCCAAAGUGGGAAGUGACUUCUAUUCCUAUUCUGAUUUCUAAUACUUCCUCUAAUGCGCUAGAUCGGGCAACUAUAUUUCUUAUAUCAAAUCAGGCACCUGAGUAAGGUUAGUAUUGAUUCUAUUUCCUUUCUUACUUGAAACUAUCCCUCUCUUUCUCCCGAACCACAUAGUCAGUAGGCAAAAGGGAAGCUGUCUUUGUAUAAGAAUGCAACUAAUAAGUUCCAGAAUUGACCUCCUUCUCGCCAAUAAAACAACUCAGAAGAAAACCCCCUCUCAGUGCUAUCCACUCUAAAAUAUAGAAUGAAUAUAGAAAAAGUAGUGCACAGGAGAAUCAGAAUGAAUAUAGAAGAAGUAGUGCACAGGAGAAUCUUGAGUUUCACCAGAAGCAAGAGCCAGAGUAGGAACAACUGAAGAAGCCGGGUGCUCCAUAGGUGCAAUUCCAUUCUGACUUGAUAACUGUAACUGGGGUGUUAACUGCCCCAAGGGAACCAUAAGGAUGUUAGGAAUAAAUGAACUAUAACAGCACUUCAGUAGCUUUCUGGUCCAAUCUCUUAUAAAAACAUAUAAAGAGAUGUGAAAUCAUUCCUUUGAAGUCUAUAAAACAGGGCAUAGUUGCUUGGUUAGAAGUCCAUAAAACUGGGUUCAGUCUUAAACUACUUAGGCCAAUUCUUUCACUGCCUUGGUUCAUUCUUUGCCUUACCAGCUCUUUCCUCUACUAGCUCUUUCCCUUACUAGCCCCGAACAGUGGUUGCAUUCUGUAUUCUGCUAUUCCUAGUUUACGAGUUGGGGCAGGGCAUUUCAAAGGUUGCUUGGCGCCUAGCUCACCUCUUGCAGAAGCAACUGGUAGAUCAGCAACUACAAGUCCCAGUAAGAAAGUUAGGAAAGGGAAGUUUACUGGUCAUAUAGAACAAGUAGUAGAGAUUCGGUUCCUGCCGCUACACCCCGUUCACUUUAGCACCUAAGUCGGCUUGUCUAGUAGUUACUUGUCGGGUCAUACACCCAGGACUUGUAAUCAUAGGUUAGGAAGCUAAGCUGUACCCAGCCUGAGUAGAAACCAGAUCUUAAGGUGUGUUGGUUUGGAUUCUUCAAGUGUGGUUAUCGGCCUAUCUUCUGUUGUCGACUCCACUUUCCUUGCCUCUUCUGCUUACAAUUGAAUUAACACUUUCGCCACUGAUGCACAUGUUUCGGGCAAUACUGAAUGCUUAAAACUCGCUUCCGCCUACUUCAACACAAUAACCUCUAUCUCUUGCAGACAAUAAAACAAUAACUCUACUUUAAGUUCCUUGCCUUCUCGCUUCGAUUGAUGGUUCCCUUUCUGCUUCCUUUCGAAUGGAAUUUGCAUAUACGCUUGCGGCUUCAGAUCUUUAUCUAUCUUCUUCUUUAUAUCCUAAUUUAUCUACUAGUAUAACUCUCCUUUCAGAAGCACCCAAAGAUUCCUUAAUUGCGAAACGAGGACUUGCACAAUAACUUCUCUCUCCUGUGCAACACCUAAUAUUGAGGUUUAGGCUUGAACACACACCUUUUGGUUUAGGCUUUCUUUCACACCAGCCAUUUCCCUGAUUCCUCUCCUGUUGAAGAUCUUUCUUCCCUUGGUUGUUUAAGAUAGGCACAACUUACAAUAAGAGCCCCCCCAAAUGUAUAGAAUUGCAUUUCUACACCCAAGCAGUUAGUUGGUUUCUUUUACUUAUUAAGCUAUCCCUUGCGCUUUUACUUGACUUUCAUAUUGCCCUUUUUGCUCUAGUUCUCAUAAUGUUAGUAUUGAUUCUCAUGUUAGUAUUUAUUCGAUCCGUAGCUGGGACCACUACUCGGUGUUGGCUUGUUCUACUUGUUUGCUUGUUUCUUAUUCAUGGAGUUUCCCCUAGACUAUAAGGACAGAGGCACCCUUUCUUUUCUUUUACUGACAGCCCGGCCCGAAACUAACAUAUUAUAUUACUUCCAAUCUUCUGCAUAAGCCAUAUUAGUAUCAAGUCAAUCAGCAGCAAUCGGUAGAGCAGAAGAGAAGCAAAGAGAAGAAACUGCCGUUAAGUCGUCAGCAGAAGAAUAAGCAAGGUCCAAUGGAAACUUUAUCCGUUAGCUAAAGAACUCGCUUCAACAGUUUAGCAUUCCCUUACUCCCUAAACUAGACUUUCCACUUCAUAUUCUUUAUACCCCCGACUUUUCUUUUAACCCACACCUCUUCUUCUCCGUGGGCAUUCGCCAAGAACAGAUCUCGCCGGCCAAUAUAUAAGUAAAACUCCCUUCGCGCCAACACUGGAACUGGUUCUUCUCCUUCGGAUUCUCUUGUAACAGCUUACUUACUUCCUUCGGAUUCAAACAUUUAUUCUUCCAUUCCAUUAUCAAGGUUAACUCGACUAGAUACUGCUUAAUCUUCUCCAGCUUCUUUAUUGCCUUUAAAGAGACCUGAGCUUGAACUACACUUCCUAUGCUUAUGCUAUGGUUGGUUACCCCAUUCCAUUCUAUUAUACAGAGCUCAUUCCUCUUAAUCUUCUCCAGCUUCAUAUUGUUCAACUUCAACUGUCAUUCUACUUUAAGACUUAAACACAAGCAAUACAAACAUAAUUGCCAACUUUCUUUCUACUUUAUUGAAUCUAUCGAGGGCAUAUAGGAAUUACUAUUAGCACUGUAAAGACAAUUUGGACGAAGUCAACAUAUACUUCAUUGAAUCUUUAGAGCGGAACUUUCACUUACUUUCGAGGCAACACCACCUAGGGCAGCGAAUUCUCUUGUAGGCUUGCUUCCUCGCCUGUUCCUACUAAGGAUUUGGAAACGACUUCUGAUCUUGUCUUGCAACACCCGAAACUCUUUAAGGACCUGACCGCAAAGGCUUCUGAUCCAGCUUUCAUAACAGCUAGAGAGUUCCUUUAGACACUUGUCCCCCGCCUAGGCAUGAUAGAAGGCUAUCCCUUAUUCAAAAGCACUACUACUUGUUGGGGUAGUCUUCAAAUGAGUCUUUCAUGACCGAAUACCCAUCAAAGCACUAUGCGGCUUAAGACUUUCUUAACAAGGCUCAGAUAAAUAAGAGGGAGCGGAGUGAAGAAGACCAUUGUAAAGAUCCCAUCCCAGUAACUUCGAGGCGGUACCAUCUUGAAUCCAGGUCGGGUCGUUAUAUUAUAUGUAGAUGUCGAGUCAGCAGAAGGACCUAGUAUAGUUGGUGCAUCAGAAGUACUAUUCGAUUUAUAAGAGAACAAUAGGUGAAUCGGUCCCUAGACAGAAAUGUUCCCAUAGUUAAGAUAGCAGGCAGGCUCACUGUAUAGGAUGGUUAAGUAAUAGCAACAAUAGAAGAAUCCCCAGCAUAAAGAAAGAAAUGGAAAUAUGGAACUGUAAACUCCCCGUUAGCGCCUGCACCCUCACAUGGACUACUUGGACCACUACUAGUUGGGGAUUAUACUAUCACUCGAACAGGACUACUACUACUAGAUUCAAACCUUGCUAAAUCCUCUUCUUCUCCACCUCUGUCAACUUGACUAGACUAGCCAAUUACUAAAAGGGGGUUCUCUUUCCACCGACAACACCUUUCCUUUCGACUUGACUUCCAGAGUAUGCUUGGCUAUCCCUUGUAGUGCUGUACCUCCUUAGUAGUGCUAGGCCGUACCUUCCCUGUUAGCGCUUAGUCUUACCAUUACUUACAGUUAAGCGCAUAAAAUCAUUUCUUUACUUAACCUUAAAGCCACUGGUGGAUCACAAUAAAAAGCUUGAGCAGGAAGGUCUACGAGCAGAAAUUCCAGUGUCGGGCUUGUUUCGGAAUUAUUUGAAUGCUUUGCUUUGUUGUCGGUUCAGUUCUUAAAGUGGGCAAUCAGUCUUAUCCUAAAUAAAUAGAAAUGGAAUUGAAACCGAGAAAUAAGGCGGCAGCAGAGCAGCAAUUCCAGAUCUUGUCUUAGAGAGGAAAAAGGGGUUGUGGAAAUUCCCAGCUCGAGUCUUGUUAUCGCCAGGCUUUCAGCACCUGCUUGGUAGAUUCAGUCCUGUAAACAGUAGCUACAGUCUGAUGGAGUAGAUAGGGCCGUUCUCGUCAGUAGGUGCGUUAGAUCAUACCUGUAUUCUCUAUUCCUACCUUUUCUAGUAGUAGCUCAAUUCCAUAGUUCACUGCUCUAUUCUUAUAGUUAUGAAUUUGAUUCUUUGUAUCAGUAAGUGGUUUUUGUUUGCUUAUGUUACCGAUGCCCCAUUAUGUGUUUGAUUACCCAUACCGGACCUGGCAGCCCUAGAUCUAUGGAAGUAAUCCUCCAGAUGGACUCGGGUGAAAGUGAGUAGUGUCAUCCUUGAGCUUGUACCAUAGUCAUUGAAGAGCUAGCUACAGGGAAGGGCAUAAGUGUAGUAGAAUCAUAUAAAGCAAUGUCCGUUUGCAAAUUAGUAAGUCAGUUUGAAACCAAGCAAGGGCAUACUAAAGCUAUCAAUGCAGACUAUAACCAAAGGAGGGAAGCCUAAAAGCAGCGGGGAAUAUAUUCUAUUAAGUAAUUAAAGGAUCCGGAUCAGCAGUUACAGAACGAAAACAAGUAAAGGAGAUGAGAGACUAAAACAAGCGCGGUAGUCGUCAGUUUGAAUCAAGAGAUAGAGAAGGUAGGCCCAUAAGCAGUAGAGCAAGGUUCUAAUCCUGAGUCAUAUAAUUCAAGUAAGAGCGCUAAGCCCGAUAGCUCGGAAAGAGAGACUUAGAUGGGUGAACUGCAGACUCAAACAAUAGCUAGGUCGUUUUUAGAUAAGUAGCGGUGGGCUGUCCUAUUGGUGGGUGCGGGAAUACUUUUCAAAAGGUUGUCGAUUUAUUAUCCUUAUCACAUAGAUAGUCUCAAUACAAUAAAAGAACGGAAGAGAGUUUACGCAGUGCCAAUGAUAUUCUUUCUUUUCUCAUUAGAAUAUGGAUAUUGACUUUACUUCUUUCUUUUCUCAUUAGAAUAUGGAUCUAUUGCUUACAAGACUCGACUGCUUACUAACAUAUGUUUUCCGAUCUAAAUCCUGUAAUAUAAGAAUAGAAGCGGAGUACAUUAAUGAAACUAGAAAGUCAGGAUACCCGGGCUAGGCCAUUGAUAAACCAAAGAACUUUCACGAGCUUCUAAGACCACCAAGUCACUUACGGUUGUCCCAUUAACUUGUUGAAGUAUUAGAAGUAUUCAAGUUAUACAAAAGGGUAGUCGGGUAGUAAGGUUAUACUAAAAGGUAGUAAGGUAAGGCUGAUAUGGAGGAGAGUAAGGCUGUUAGUCGGUGCUGUUAGUCGGUAGUUGGACUCUCGCAAGUAGGUGCGCUAGACCAUACCCAUGAGUUGAAGAAUCCAUACCAUACCAUAUAGGUUAGCUGCCAGUUUAAAGUCCUGUUUUUUCCAUUAAUUCCAUUUCCUGUUCGAUCGUUUUCUCAUAUAAUAAUGGAAUCCAAUCCGAUACUGGGAUGUGUUGUGACAUACUAUGGUUUCAAUCCAUGUUUCAAUCAAUAGGCAAUAGGGAUGUGUUGCGCAACGAAAGACAUAUGUUUUAUAUGGCAAAUAAGAAUCAAAGCAAGUAUAGUAUAACUUACCUAUAAGAAAUGUAGAGGAAAGAUCUAGUUGUUGAUAUUCUAAAUAAGAAUAAAGGGUAGAGUCAACCAUACUAGGGUUGUUUUUCAGAGUCAAGUCAGUAUCGGGUCUAUAAGUAGCAAAUACAUAAUGGAAUUCAUAAAUAGAGAACUCCUAAACUCAGAAGUAAGCCUGUUUGUUAGUAGUGAGAGUUUCGAACCGAGGAGUUUUUAGCUCGCUACCGCGCAACAAACAUAGUUGCUUUGCCCCCGCAUCAGUACACAGAUUCAGAAUUUCCCUCAGUAGUAACAGUAUCGGUGGGCAAUGGAAGUAACCAAAACCGAGGGGCCUCUAUAGUAAGUUGGCAAAGAAUAUCAUCCAAACUUAUUGUUUUGGGGUUGGAUAGCUAACGGCUUUUAUUACUUGUGUGUUGCAGUGAGAGUGGAGUCUACAGGUGAGGAAUACUGAUCUUCAGCAGGAAGAAGAAGUGUUGCCGUUCUCAAAAGGGAAGCUGUGAAAAUAGUCUAUACUACAAUGCGGCAGAUUGGUAAUACACCUGACUUUAUCACUGGUAUCUUACUUUAUCACUGGUCUCACUGGUAUCUUACUUCCUCACCGGUAUUAAAUACAAUACUGGAGUCCGGAGCAGAGGUGUUUACUUUCGAAUAGAAGAAGGGCCCAGCCGCUACUAGAGCAAUAAAGAAUAAUGGAAUUGGAAGACAUAGCAUCGGUGUUCGUUCAAGGGGUUUUGUUAACAGGGUUGGCCAGAUAAGAGAUAUAUGAUAGUCCUGCUCCUGUACUGGAUCGUUCAAGAAACAAAAGAAGUCACAUUAGAGUUUAUUUGGAGUUGAUAUCUGAACCCAUCCUUUUAAGUAAAGAGUUUAGCCUAUUGGACGUGGGUGCCCAGUAGUAGAAUGCCCAGUUCCUGUUAUCAAGUAUGGUUAUGAGAGGUCGGGGACUUAUUAUAGGUUAAGGGUUUACAAGGGAAGUAGUUCAGUUGCCAGUUGACAGAGGAGAGGUAGAUUUGUAUAGGCUCAAUUAGGACUCCCAAAGGCUGUGCUAUGCGCUCGGGAGCCUGAGAUAUGGUAUAAGAGAUAUGGGAUAAGAGCGAACGAACACUAGCGGGUAGUAUAUUAGUAAAGAGCCAACACUGGAUUUGUAGCCUGAGUAGAGGUAGGGCGCUAAGCUAUUAAGAUUGGAUUCAGUAUCUGUUGCCAGAGUAUGGUUAGUUUCAAUAAGUAUUAGUUUACGGAGGUACUGUCACUAAGGGAGAAGACCGGUAGUACUAGUUCUUGAACACUGGACUUGGGCAGCUAACCAGAGAGGAGCCUAAGCCUACAGUUCCUUGAAACCGACCCCAAACACAGACCUUGUGCGCCGGACAGUUUAUAAACUUAUAAUGCAUUUCUUACUUCAAGAGUGAAAAGAGCCUCGCCUUAUUCUGGUAUCAAAUAAAUAGUUACCGAUUGCAUCAACCCUUUCAUAGAAAUUAUAUCUUAUCUAAAUAUAGGAGCUAGUUUAGUAAGAUCUCGCCCACUUAUUGAAUUCCUUGACUCGCACCCAACAAUACCUUCCCGUUACCGCCUCACUGACGUCAAAGACAGGACUUGAUUCUAAAGCUCCCGUUAGUGCUGAAUGAGAUGGAACUGACGCAGAUUCUCGAGUUUACUUAACAAUAACUGCGGAUUCUUUAUACAUUGAGUAAAGCACCUGAACUUAACCCUGAUUCUUUAUACAUUGAGUGGAGUAGUCUCACCUAUGUGUUAAGCAAGUAGUCAAUAGAGAAUAUAGGACCAAUACAAGCAGCUUUAAUAAGUAAGGGAAGGGUUAGUAGUUAUAAGAGCCGAGCCAGUAUCAAGUGGUAGUCCUGUUGGAGUUCUAAAGUAAGCUGCUGCUCUUAUAGUAAAUUGCUGUUCUAGUUUGUCGAGUGUGAGUGGAAUUCUUAGUGUAGCUCCACCGCUCCCUUAUUCUUUGUAUUAAUAGUGACAUCAGAGUUUCGGUCCCUUAUGCUUAUUAGUUGACAGAGCCGAGCCAGUAGCAUUGAGAGCCUUGUUAGUACCUGUUCGGGCCUUGUUGACACCAGUUUCCAGUAUUGCUAGCAUGGGUUAGACUACCAAUUAAUGCCAAUAAGACAACAACUCGAUAGCCAAUAAGACAACAACUCGAUAUACUGAACUCCACUCUCAACUUUACUUGCGAAUAACGUGGUUUCAGCAGGGCGAGGAAAUGAUGUUUCAGUUCUAAAGUCAGCUUAUGAAUUAGGAGUGGGAAAGAAAGAAAGUAAGCUCCAAGCCAUGAUUCCAGUAUAGAGGAAAUAGUGUCCGACCCCUCUACUCUUGCUCAGCCAAGGUAACUACUAUAAAAGUGUGAGUUUCAUCCCGCAAAGCAGACCUGGCCAGUACUUUCUUCUUCCUUUGAGCGCUCCGUUACUUAUGCAUUCGAAAAGAUAGUGGGCUUCUGUAUAAGAGGAAACGGACUUAGCAGGCUUCAGCGGAUUCUCUCUCUCUCGUUGCCAACACAAGAACAGAACGAACCAACAACUGAUUGAGAGUCGUCACACCUAUACGUAGCCCACAUAGCGGUCGGUAAAGAACUUGAACUUCAAGAAGCCCAUGACUUGUAAAAGGUAACAUGAAAUUGUGCGCCAUCGAAUUAAGGGAAAGCCCUUCUUAGUUUCCACUUGGAGCCUGUUUUCUUUGGAUUCCAUCAGUUAGGAUCCUUAUAUGAUAAUUAUGCCCAGGGGUUCCUUGCUGCUCCCUUGCGACAACGAUAGUAGUACACGGGAUGACACUCUUGAGCCCGUCAAUGAUCAGAUGACCCUCAAUACCCGGCUUCACACAGGUAGUUACAGGCUAUAGAUUCCCACCGAUUGACCGAAGUCAGUAGUAAGCCCGAAGUCAGGAGUCAGCCCUCAGUCUGUUACUAGGAAGUCUGUUACUAGGCGCGGGUAGGUAGGAAAUACGGAUGGUUUACUGACUUGCUUGUUAGGGUCGGUCAGCAGUUAGAGCAGAUACAUGAGUUAGUUCGGGUCGUGUGUGAAAGCAGCUAUGCCCUGUUUUAUGGGCUUCAAGUUCACUAUAAAACCACUUAUUGAGUUGGAUGAGAAAUCCUUCAUUUCACGUCUAAAGAUUCUAAAUAAUGAAUUUGGAACCCAAUUCUUGUAGUGUAGACCUGCCCCUCUCAAGUAGGCUUAGUGGUCUGGUCUGGUCUAGUUGCAUCUGUAUUUGUUGUAUUAGUUGACAUAGGAGAAGUAGAGUUACCAUAGGUAGAUGCGCUGAAUUCACCAAGUCAUAAUGAAGUGUUAGUAGCAAAAGGAGAGCACACAUAGGUUUAUUAGAAACCCCGCCUCGAGAGUCAGAAUGAAACUCUUAAGUAGAAGCCUUAAAGCACUGGAGUAGUAGUAGAGCAGUAAAGAGUUAACCUAAUUAAUAGCGUAAGUCAGUUACUCAGCAAUGAAACUAAUUCCGCAAGUCCUGUCCUCGUAGAUGUUUUCACGGUCAAAGAAAAGAAUCACAUACUGGCUUAGUUGCGAGAUAGAGAUAGAGAGCCCACUAAGCAAUCUUCAUCUAUUAAAUGCUGUGCUAUAGGAAGUGGAGUCAGAUUCCCAUGCUUAAUCAAGCUGCAGAUCCUAAUCCAGAUCCUAAAGAAAGCUUCACUAAGGUAGAAAUAGGCACUUUACUUAGAGAAUUCAAUUAAGAACGGAAAGUGGAGUUGCAUUAACUAGGAAUGUUUUGGGGGUAUUGACUUUUGAAUCCAUAUCCGCGAAAGUCCAAUAUCCUGUUUAGUAGCCUGUUGCAAGGCAAGUAUCAAGUAUCAAGUCUUGUUAUCGUUGUCGGCUUUGGCUUCCGUACCUGAUCCGGCUUGGUCCGCCAAUAACUUAUCUUGUCCGUGACUUAACUAUCAUUAUAUUACCUUAUACGGGGAAACAGAAGAAUGGGCUCGAUAAAGAAUGGAGUAGAUACACCCCAAAAAGGAUUUGCUCCAGGCGAAAACAGAGGACUUGCAACUAACUAACUAAGAAAGUCAGCAUCAAACGCUUCUGAAAGGAGAAGUAGGGCAAGCCAAUCAGAUUCUUCUGUAUGGGAUGAAACAAGCACCGCUCCGCCAGGAACCACUCUUCUCCUUAGCACCAACUUAUCUAUAUGCUCUUGGAGAUGAUCUUUCUACGGGUGACUUAGCGCUAAAGAAGGACAGAAAGAAUUAUAGGACCAGAGCAAACAAGGUAGGAACCAGAGCAAGCAAGGACAAGGAGUAGAGUACUAUAAGUGAAGGGAGUUAAGUAGAUAAAUGAUAGGUUUUUGAAUCCCGUCCCGGUAAGGUAAGGAAGCAGUUCAAAGAUCUGUAUCCUGAGUAGGAACUAAAGAAUCAGUUGUAUCCAGAGUCGGAGAAGAAACAAGAGAAGAGGCAUAAGGUAGAGUCAGAGAAUCCGCUGGGCGAGGAAAAGGGAGUUCAAGGACAGAAGAGAGUAAAGGUGCUUGUUCUGUUCUCAAGUUCAUCCAUUAAGUCUUGUUCAGAGGGGCAUUAUCUAUGCCUUCUCCAGUCCAGCUAAUGCAAAUGGAAAGGAACUUCUGGUUUAGGUCGGGUGUUUGAGCAACUGUAUUGCCUUUGCUUGGAGAAUGUCCUUCUUUAGCGCUAAGUCCUGCUCCAGCUCUCAGUAACAACCAGAAUAGCCAGAUUGUGUCCCGCCUCUCGGAAACAUAAUAAUUAGCCAUAGGUUUUGAAUAUAAAUAAGUAGCCAACCCCUGGGCUCGCCGACGAAGACGAAUUACAAAGUAAGGCAUAACAUAAAGCGAAUUCGGACUUAAAGAAUAAUAGAAGCUUGACUUAAAGAAUAAUAUAAGAAGUAAGUAAUCUAGCGCAUAUUGUCCCUUAUUUGGAUUCUUAUACAUAUACUCAAAACUCUGAACCAACCUAGUAUAAUAAGUGAAGGAACAAGUCCGAAUGAAAGUUUCCCAGGGGUAUUAUAGAUAUUGGUCACUAAGCAACCUAGUAGUGCAAGUGCUCUUUAUAGCCUAGUUAGUCGACUCUUUUUGCCAGGAAAGCAGUCAGCAAUGCCAGUUUCAUCCCGCUAAGCCAUCCAGUUUAUGUUUGACUUUCAUCUUUGUUUGGAGUAUCUUUCUAUUCGCCCAGUUCAAGAUCAUAUUGAAGCAGGACCAUAACCGAGUAGGAACAUAAUCAGUGAAAAAGUAAGCAAUUGGUGAAGAAGCUAGAUCCGGAGAAGGAUUAGAUGCAGUGUAAGUUAAGUAUACGAGAUCGGAAUAAGGGGAAAGAUCUGGAUCAUAAAAUGUCUACGCCGAUAGUGAUCCUCAAUGAGUGUUUGCCUAUGAUUAGCUUAAGAAGUACUAUCCGUAGCCCCAAGAAACAAUGGAGUUCUUCACCGACCCUUUGACUCUAUACUUUCUUUAAGAAGAAAUGGAAUUGAAUGCACCUGAUAUAGCAAAGCGGAAAUACUCUCUUACGAGCGAGGUAUACAGAAUGAGUAGCAGGCGAGUCUUCUUCUGGUCGAAGUGAAAGUGGAAGUUUGAGUGUCCCUGCUUAUAUAAGUGGAGAUAGGAAAUGCAUUCUGAUUGCCUAAAUUCAAAGGAAAGAAAGAAAGUCAAUCUAAAGUAAAUAUACUAGUUGAACUCAUCUCUCCCCUCUGGUUCUUUAAAUCAUUGAACCCUGCUGGCUCCGUAGUUUCUUGGCUGAUAGCAAAUAGUUUGAUGCUUACUUGAGAUUAGAAAGCGUAGUGACUUGCCCUUCCGCCUAAGCUUGGUCAUUAGUAGUUGUUUGUCCCGUUGCUUGACCCUUUCUUUAGUCUCGGUCUGAGGGUCGAGUCACUGCUCUGUUUUUCAUCACCUUCUAUUCUAUAUGUGGAGAUAGCUAUAUGUUCACGUGAGCCCUCCCUUCCUUGCUAUUGGUCUUACUUUGCUUGUUUGAAAGCCUACCUUUCUAUACGCACCCUUGCUUCUAUAUAAAUAAGAAAUUGGAUCCUGGCUUCUUUGCCUAGAGCCUUACUUUCCUAUCCCUUAGCCUCACACUAAUGCUUUACAUGCAUUCUACUUCUACUGAUUCGGAUCACCUAUUUCACCUGUAAGUCUACCAUCUCCCUCUCUUAGUCUACCUUUCUUGCGCCGUUGAGUAGGAUUCCUUAUUAACUCUCUUGGGUGUUAUUUCUUUAUUAUGUAUUUGAGUUUCAUCGGAUACUAUACUGGUGAAUUCUCAUAAGCUGUAGCUUGGUCACCUGUUUGGAGUUAAUGUAUUAUAAGGCAUCAUUCUAUUCUCGCCAGUACCUCUAUUCCAUUCCCGGUUUCUCUACAGUUAAAUGUGGUAAUAAGCAAUUUCAGAAUGCAGCCUAUCAGGGUUAAGGUAAAGAAUGAGAUAUAGCAGUAGGAGACUAACUGGCAGUAGGGGUUCAAUCUAUGUGCCCGGGUAGUGUAGAAUUCCUAGUUCCGAGUUCAAACCCUAUUUCUUUGUUUAAGUAUGGAAGGGCAGUAGUCCAUUCUUAUAUAUGGAAGUAAUUGCAGAACGAGAAGCAGUAAUUGAAGAGUUAAAGACAAGAAGGACAGCUUUGAGAUCAAUAGCUAUAGGAUGAAAGCAAAGGGAUAAAGACCUCUAACAGCAGGAAAUAAGGUUGAUAUACAGGAAAGCACAACUAAAAGGAAGAGAUGUCAGGUUAAUAAUAGCUCUAAGUUGAAGAGGGAGCGGGAGACCGAUCUUUGGAAGCAAGGAUACAACUAAGGAGUAGCGGCGUGGAAGCGGGAUCGUGAGAGUGAAAGUCAAGAGUUAAGGCUCGGGCUGCUGUGUUGAUACUGGUCUAGUCCUUUGCCUACUGGGCCAAUCGAAUAAGGUAGUUUUUCUUCCCUUUUAGGUGCAGUUCCUCUUCGUCUUUGUAGUGUGAUUGCAGCUCUUCUUUCUCUAUAUGCCUACUUCUUAUUGUACUGCUUUGUCCAGUUCUUCUGCUUACCGUUCUGAGUCUAUUUAAUAUAUGCCCACAAAGAAAGUAUAUUCUUGGAUUGCGCUGUCCUCUUAUCAGUAAGUACUGCUAUUAGUCUGAUGGUUCGUAUACAUUAGACAGGUAGCCGACUUGGAAGCAUCGACGGGAGUUCUUAGACUCAAACCGGAGCAUAGAAGUUUCUAUUGGUUGUGGCAUGCUAACAAUCAAGCAUAGGACCCGGGCGCCUAGCUCGAUUCUUUUUCUUAAGAUACAGUAUUUAGGUCAGUGUUUUCAGUCUAAUAGUGAGUCGUCGGAUUCCUGCUUUUUCGUGUAGUUCCCGGGCUGGGUUUAAGAUAUUGUUAGCCGGGUUUUGAUUCUUAUGGGCACCGGUGUAAUUCCCUUAUGAGGGUUAUUAUAGUAUUGAUUGAUUAAAGAAAGGAUCUAGAUCAGUAGCUAGAGAGUUAAGGGCUGGCAGGGCAGGCUAGGAGAAAGUGCAUACGGAUUUGGAUCUAGUAGUUGUGGACUCAAGGGGUAGCGGAAGAGUGAAAGCUCCUCUGUAGUGCUAAAGUCUGAUAGCUAGUAAUUGGAUUCUAAUGGUAGUAGUUGUUGUCUUAUAGUAUAGUCGUAGUUGUCUAAAGAAGUAGGGAAGAAAGUCAGGCUUGUCCCCUACUUAAUGCAAUAAGGCUUUGUGUAUUAGAUAAGGCUGGAUCGAGGGAGCGUACCCAUAAAUGCAAUUCUGGCUUUUGUAUUUGAUUAUUCCAUUUUGUAUAUGUGGUUAAGAAAUACUGAAUGAUUAGGAAAAAGGGGAGAGUGAAAAGCACUAGUUCGGUUCUAAGAAGCCGUAGCUGGGGUUGGUCAAAAAGUAGUGGUGUUUGGAUUCCCUGUAGCCAGCAGUACCCUAUUUCUUUCUGUUUUUAGUAUUAGAAGAAGUAGCUCCAUUCUCAUAGGCAAUGGAAUCAUAUUUGUGUUCCAAGGUAUCGGACCAAUAGACAAUAAAGGCAGACUUAACUAAAGGCGAGGCGGGCAAUCCUGAUGGCUUUGUCGCUUCCUUCCUUUAUUCUUUUAACCGCUACGGCUCAGUAGAAUUACUAGACUCUUAUGCCAAACCAAUACUACUUCCUUGCAUACUUGCUUCUUAACAACACACUGCCGUGUAACAUUAUACUAAGCUUGCCGGUUAUGGCUUGUCUACACCUAUCUCUCUGCUCGGCUUGCCCGAACCUAUAUCUCUGCUCGGAAAGGUAAAAGGCAUGGUUUUGAAAUGAGAAAUAGAUAUAACUAGGUGUGUGUUGGUGGUGGAUGUGACAUACAAAAGCUAUCAAUACAGGAUGAAAAGCACUAAAAGAGUGUAGUGGCAGUCAAAAGUAGACCCAUUCUCAGAAUCCAAGUUAGUAGCUCGUCUCUUAAUUCUCUUUUUCAUUCUCCUACUUAAUAUAGCGAAAUUGCCUGUUUCGAGUUCGAUUGUUAGAUGUACAGGAUUGUACCUAGAGUCUAGUAAUACCUAGGUUGGGGUUAUGCUCCAUUACUCUAUAAGUGCUCUCCCCCUUUGAUUAUUGUAAGUAAUAAUAUGAUAUAACCCUUAUUAGUCACAGUUACAUUCCCGUACUGCUUACUUAUAUUCUCUUGAAAUACGAAAUAGGAUCCUGUCACCAAUACCGGUAGGAAGAACCCUAUUGCUGUUACGGCUGAAAAGCCCUAACUACUAUCUGAUUAUCACUGCCGACCUGGAACCCUGCUCUACUUACUCUAUGGGCCUCGCGCUACUUGCUUUUAGGCUCCCUUUCCUUUUCUUUGAUUCUAUCUUUUAUUGUUCAAUUACUUAUUCAGUGUUCUUAUAAGAAUUGUUAAUGUUUAGUGCUUUCCGAGCAAAGAGAUGGGUUUGGUGAAGUAAGAAGAAAGUAGUACACUAAGGUGCUGAAAGCCUAGAAACUCCCGAUAACAAGAAUCGAACCCAAAGACUUAUACUCAACACUAAGAAAGCCAACAAAACUAUCACUUAUAGGAAUCUGGGCUACUCUAACAUAUAUUAGAAUGCAAUUAAUACUGCUCAGCCUUACUAUAUUGCCAGAAACUCCUCUGUGUAAGUUUCGCUCUUGUACUAGUGCUGGGGGAUUAAGGCUGUAGCCAAUACAAAGCAGAAUGCACUACCACUCCGAUAGGCAACGCUGACUAUUAUAAGACUAUAACUACGGCUUAUCCGCUCUAAAACAAUGGCUUCAAGUGCAAAGUAUACAACCAUGAAUAGAACUUCAAUAGUCAAGAAUAGAACUCAAUAGUCUCGGAAUGACUAGCAAGUAGGAGAAAGUCUGUCAUAAGCCCACAAACAAACCAGUAUAAAUAAGACUUAUCGGAGUAAGUAAAAGAGAAAAGUCGUAUGGCUUAUAGAAUGAAUGAAGUAAGUAGCAGACAGCAACUAUAAAGUCAGAGAACAACUCUAUAAAGUAAGACUCCAGCAGGAAUUCCACUAAGAAAUAGAAUCAUGAACUAACGCCCCAACGAAUGAAACUAAAAACAAAGAAUAAGGUCUUCCAGCUCCUGAUCUCAUAUCCUGAUUGUUAGUUUAUAGUACACCUCUCCUGUUUCUCUUUCUGAAACUCAUGCCCGG
rnacentral:lncRNA from 1 species